rnacentral:rRNA from 1 species
AUACGUAGGAUCCGAGCGUUAUCCGGAUUUAUUGGGUUUAAAGGGUGCGCAGGCGGCCAUUUAAGUCAGCGGUUAAAUCGUGGGGCUCAACCCCAUUCUGCCGUCGAUACUGGUUGGCUUGAUUGCGGUCGAGGUUGGCGGAAUUCGUUGUGUAGCGGUGGAAUGCAUAGAUAUGACGAAGAAAACCGAUUGCGUAGGCAGCUGACCAGACCGCAAAUGACGCUCAUGCACGAAAGUGCGGGGAUCGAACAGGAUUAGAUACCCUGGUAGUCCGCACAGUAAACGAUGAAUACUUGUUUUCGGCGACAUAAUGUCGGAGGCAAAGCGAAAGCGAUAAGUAUUCCACCUGGGGAGUACGCCGGCAACGGUGAAACUCAAAUGAAUUGGCGGGG